CAAAUGAAGUUGACGGGGCCCGCACAAGCAGCGGAGCAUGUGGCUUAAUUCGACGCAACGCGAAGAAACCUUACCAAGGCUUGAAAUGCAAGUGAAGCGGUGGAAACGCGUGGCCGAAAGGAGCUUGCACAGGUGGUGCAUGGCUGUCGUCAGCUCGUGUCGUGAGAUGUUGGGUUAAGUCCCGCAACGAGCGCAACCCUUGUCAUUAGUUGCUACGCAAGGGCACUCUAAUGAGACUGCCGGUGACAAACCGGAGGAAGGUGGGGAUGACGUCAAGUCCUCAUGGCCCUUAUGGGUAGGGCUUCACACGUCAUACAAUGGUCGGUACAGAGGGUUGCCAAGCCGCGAGGCGGAGCCAAUCCCACAAAGCCGAUCGUAGUCCGGAUUGUUCUCUGCAACUCGAGAGCAUGAAGUCGGAAUCGCUAGUAAUCGCAGGUCAGCAUACUGCGGUGAAUACGUUCCCGGGUCUU
rnacentral:rRNA from 1 species